UGUGCAUAAAUUGUAAUAAUGUUAAGUGAUGUUUUGAUUUAACAGGUACAGCAAAACUUUAUAUAUUGUGGCCAUUUUUUUUAUUUAUGAAAGAAUUUGGUGAAGGGUGACUGGGAAAUAUACUAUUAGAUAUGAUCACUUUGGUCUUUUUCCGACCGGCAGUAAAAACUGACCGAAGUUGGCCAUCCGUUUAGUUGUGUGGGAUAUAAAAGUACACAGUCACGUCCAGUCCGAAUGGGAAUAUAAAAUCUAAUGUCUCGUGUAAAGGUGUAAAGAGAGUACCACGCUAACUACACUGUACGAACCCCUGCAAAAACUUCAUGAGAGGUCCAUAAAUAGCCUGUUGAAAGGCAACAUUUGUGUCCUUAUAAAAUAUACAUAAUUUUAUCCAGUGGCAGUCCAAACGUCCCUAACGUAAUUGCGGCUGGCCUCCUUCAAGGACUUACAUGUAGUAUGUGUUGCUACUUUGUGCUUAUUCUUAACAUGCAUGACAUAUUUGCAAGUGAACGUUAAGCAAUCAACAAUCAGCCAUUACGUACGCGUGUCAUAAACAAAUAGUAGUAAAAGGGUCCAUAAAUUGUUAAGAAGAAACGCAGCAAAUGUCUAAGGUUAGGUUGGUGAUUGGUGCUUUGCUCAACCCAUAAUUUACCAAUGAAGUCAAUGGGAACUGGGGAAUAUAAAUAUGGUCCCUGUAGUCUUCUGCGAUAUGAAUCAAAAUUUUAAUGAAAUGCAGUUGGGUGGGUAGACUUUAAGGUGCUUAUAAUAACCAGAAUGAACAGACCAAUCAUUUAGAUUUUUGCACCGCAGUAGAAAGACUAAUGUUCGAGGAAUUUAAGCAUAAUCUUUAUACCUUAAAAAUUCAACAAACACAAAAACAUAAUUGAAGAAAGCAAACCAGUUAAUAUAAAGAAUUGUUUCUUCAUCUUUAUAUCUUCACAUUAAAGUAACUGUAUUACUAUUGAUGACUAUCAGUUACAUGUUCCUUGCAUACACUUAUUCUUUAGUCGUAAUGUAACUUUAUGGUAAUCUAUGAUCCCCUAGGACUCUUGCUCUGAGAUUCAGGACAAAAGGCUUAACCUAUAAUCCAUUGAUUGAUUUUGAUUGCUUUCUAUAUCAAAAAGAAGAUGUGGUAUUCGCAAGAGACUAAACGAAACAAAAAUAAACAACUAUAGGUCACCGUACGGCCUUUAAACAUGAACAUAACCCACACCGCUAUAAAAUACACCGAAAUGACAAAUGUAGUACAAUUCAUACACGAGAAAACUAACUGCCCAAUUUAUGCACAAAAUAGUGAACAAAAAAUAUAUAUAACUCCUGAAUAACACGUUCCUGGCUUUGGACAGGCACAUACAGAAUAUAUCGGGCUUAAUCAUGUUAGCGGGCACCCAACCCACCACCUAACCGUACAUUGACUGGUGUAUAGUAAACACUUUCAAAAAAUGCUAUCAAAUUUGAAAUCGGACGUGUGUAUCUGUAUCUAUGCAUAGUCAUAGUCGCAUCUCUCGAGUUAUUGUAUUUUCCUACCAAUUCACUCUUUCGUAUACAUGAGGAUUUUUUUUACACGUGAAAAUUUCCUCCAAGAGUUUUUCGACAAUACAACAAACAUUAUGGGUUGCUGUCUGCAUGUUAUGGUGGUAAAUUAUUAUUUUCAAACAUGCAUAUUGGUUAUAAUCAUAUCAAAGCAUCAUUUAAUACAUGCAAAAUUCAUUGACAAACGCAAUAUUGUGUCAACGAAGCGUACAGUAUAAAAAGGUGUAAUGACAACGAAGCGUACACACAACAUGAAAAUAAAGACAUUUUAAAACGUGUAUUUUUUUGUUUCUAGACACAACAUAAACAAACGAUCUUUAUAAGUUUGUUAAUUUAUACUAUAAAGUUUUCAAAAAUGUAUGUUUUAAAAACUAUGAGGUACGAGAAAUAUUAAGUUUUGAAUGUUUAAAAAUACCAAG
rnacentral:lncRNA from 1 species